GAUUCUGGCUCAGGAUGAACGCUAGCUACAGGCUUAACACAUGCAAGUCGAGGGGCAGCAUUGGAGUAGCAAUACUCAGAUGGCGACCGGCGCACGGGUGAGUAACACGUAUCCAACCUGCCGCUUACUCGGGGGAUAGCCUUUCGAAAGAAAGAUUAAUACCCGAUGGUAUAAAGAGUUCGCAUGUUCUCUUUAUUAAAGAAUUUCGGUAAGCGAUGGGGAUGCGUUCCAUUAGAUAGUUGGCGGGGUAACGGCCCACCAAGUCUACGAUGGAUAGGGGUUCUGAGAGGAACGGUCCCCCACAUUGGAACUGAGACACGGUCCAAACUCCUACGGGAGGCAGCAGUGAGGAAUAUUGGUCAAUGGACGAGAGUCUGAACCAGCCAAGUAGGCCGGUGAAGGAUGACUCGCCCUAGUGGGUUAGUAAACUUUCUUUUAAGUAAGGGAAAUAAAGUGGAGGGACGUCGUUCCCUUUUUGUAUGUACCUUAUGAAUAAGGAUCGGCUAACUCCGUGCCAGCAGCAGC
rnacentral:rRNA from 1 species